UGGAGAACAUGUAUGUGGACAUUUCUGCC
rnacentral:piRNA from 1 species